rnacentral:rRNA from 1 species
AUUGAACGCUGGCGGCAGGCCUAACACAUGCAAGUCGAACGAGUGGCGGACGGGUGAGUAAUGUCUGGGAAACUGCCUGAUGGAGGGGGCUAACUACUGGAAACGGUAGCUAAUACCGCAUAACCUCGGAUGUGCCGAGAUGGGAUUAGCUAGUAGGUGGGGUAAAGGCUCAUCUAGGCGACGAUCCAUAGCAGGUCUGAGAGGAUGACCAGCCACACUGGACCUGAGACACGGUCCAGACUCCUACGGGAGGCAGCAGUGGGGAAUAUGGCACAAUGGGCGCAAGCCUGAUGGAGCCAUGCCGCGUGUGUGAAGAAGGCCUUCGGUUUGUAAAGUACUUUCAGCGGGGAGGCGUUACCCGCAGAAGAAGCACCGGCUAACUCCGUGCCAGCAGCCGCGGUAAUAC